UAGGGAAUCUUCCGCAAUGGGCGAAAGCCUGACGGAGCAACGCCGCGUGAGUGAUGAAGGUCUUCGGAUCGUAAAACUCUGUUAUUAGGGAAGAACAAAUGUGUAAGUAACUAUGCACGUCUUGACGGUACCUAAUCAGAAAGCCACGGCUAACUACGUGCCAGCAGCCGCGGUAAUACGUAGGUGGCAAGCGUUAUCCGGAAUUAUUGGGCGUAAAGCGCGCGUAGGCGGUUUUUUAAGUCUGAUGUGAAAGCCCACGGCUCACCCGUGGAGGGUCAUUGGAAACUGGAAAACUUGAGGGCAGAAGAGGAAAGUGGAAUUCCAUGUGUAGCGGUGAAAUGCGCAGAGAUCUGGAGGAACACCAGUGGCGAAGGCGACUUUCUGGUCUGUAACUGACGCUGAUGUGCGAAAGCGGGGGGAUCAAACAGG
rnacentral:rRNA from 1 species